UACAGAGGGUGCAAGCGUUAAUCGGAGUUACUGGGCGUAAAGGGCGCGUAGGCGGUGAGAUUAGUGUGAUGUGAAAGCCCUGGGCUUAACCUAGGAAGUGCAUCGCAAACGAUCUGACUGGAGUAUAUGAGAGGGUGGCGGAAUUUCCGGUGUAGCGGUGAAAUGCGUAGAGAUCGGAAGGAACGUCAAUGGCGAAGGCAGCCACCUGGCAUAAUACUGACGCUGAGGCGCGAAAGCGUGGGGAGCGAACAGG
rnacentral:rRNA from 1 species